GGAGUCGGCCAGACAGUCGCUGCUUGAUACGGUUUACCGUUGAGAGGGGAGGAAAGUCCGGGCUCCGCAGGGUAGAGUGCCAGGUAAUGCCUGGGGGGCGUAAGCCUACGGAAAGUGCAGCAGAGAGCAGACCGCCGAUGGCCUUUUAGCAAUAAAAGGAUCAGGUAAGGGUGAAAGGGUGCGGUAAGAGCGCACCGCGCAACUGGUAACAGUUUGUGGCACGGUAAACCCCACUCGGAGCAAGACCAAAUAGGAACCCAACGGUGUGACCCGCACUGGGUUCGGGUAGGUUGCUUGAGAUCUAUGGUGACAUAGAUACUAGAUGAAUGACUGUCCACGACAAAACCCGGCUUAUCGGCUGGCUCCAACA
rnacentral:RNase_P_RNA from 1 species